GAUGAACGCUGGCGGCGUGCCUAAUACAUGCCAGUCGAUCGAACAGAUUAGGCGCUUGCUCUUCUGCCAUUCGCUGCGUACUGGUGAGUAACACGUGGAUAACCUACCUAUAAUACUGGGAUAACUUCGUUAAACCGGAGCUAAUACCGUUUAAUAUAUUGAACCGCAUUGUUUAAUAAUGAAUUCCUGUUUUUCUGUCACUUCUAGAUCGCUCCGCUCCGCAUUAUCUAAUUGGUAAGGUAAAGGCUUAACAAGGCAACGAUUCGCAGCCGACCUGAGAGCGUGAUCGUGAACACUGGAAAUUAGAAACGGUCCAGACUCCUACGGGAGGCAGCAGUAGGGAAUCUUCCGAAAUGGGCGAAAGCCUGAAGGAGAAACGAAGAGAGAUUGAGGAAGGUCUUCAGAUCUUAAAACUCUGUUAUUAGGGAAGAACAAAUGUGGAAAUAAAAAUGCACGUCUUGACGGUACAUAAACAGAAAGCCACGGCUAACUACGUG
rnacentral:rRNA from 1 species